CCUGAAGACACCAAGACUAUUUCCGGUCUCUGCGAGGUGUGGACAGAGACUUCGUGAGGUUCAGUGUCAAUCACCCGUAAGAGAAAGCUAGUGCUCUGUUUCAGCUCAUCUU
rnacentral:lncRNA from 1 species